rnacentral:lncRNA from 1 species
AUGGGCAUCAGCCACACGAUGGCGGGCAUUCCACAGCGUUCCUGGAGCUCUGUGCAGGGAAGGGUCAGGAAAGCGGGGGGCGCAUUUGAGCCAUUAGCUGGAUUUCUUCUAGGGAGAGGAGAGGAGGAAGGCAGGUCCAGGCAGAGGGUACAGCCUGUGGCCGGAAAAGUCUCAGCUUUUUUUCCAAGGGGCAGCCAACAUUUGGGGGAAGAUGUACAGAAGGAGAAACAGCAGCCCAACGCCAGUGGUGCCAGCAGAAUGAUAAGAACUGAGGCUUCUCAAGCUCUUACUGCCUCCCAGCCCCACAGUGAUCCCUUCCUGCCAUCCUGUCACUGAAUGCCCAUCCUGACCCCAAAGGUUAGUACUUUUCUUGUCAAGAUCAUCGUAUGGGGGGGGGGGGGUGGAAACUGAGGCACAGAGAAGUUAAAUGGCUUGGCCACGGGCACCCAGCUUGGAAACAGUGGAGGCAGGAUUCAAACCCAGGAAAUCAGACACCCCAGGCAGAGGAGCUAACCACUGGGCAACAUGACCUCAUAACUAGUUUCUUACCCGGUCCCUGGUGGUACUGCUCUUGGCAAGUCUGAGUUUGGGACCCUCGCAAAGGACUAUGGUGUGGAACACACACACACACACACACACUUUUCUGGAUCUUUCGUCCCAGGAACCACUUCCCUGACACCAGAAGGGCUACAUAUUUAUUGUGGGGUCGCUACAUGAGGAGGCCCCAGAAGGGACAAUGCUUCCCUUAGGUAGUGACUUGCUAAUGGUGGCAUUUCUGGCACUGUGAUAGGUUAGAGCAAUGGUGGACAGGGGACCCUCCCAGAGCCUCUCCCUCCCUCCCUUGUGGAGAACCAUUAACUCUCUUUAUAAUUCACAGGGCCUGAGGGAUCAUGGCAGGGGACAGGAGGCAGAGGUGAAAGGAGAGAUGGAGUUCAUUCAAAACUCUUUAUUGGCACUCUGUUAGGCAUUGCAGAGCCAGCCAGCUGUGAAUAGGGCACAGAGACAGAGACAGACAAGCAGCUAGGGAGCCAAGGGCAGUGAGAUCUAUGCCAGGUUGGAGGUGAGCCCAGGGGACUCAGGAAGCGUGGAGGGGGCACCUGCCCCAGUCUCAGGAGGUCGAAGAGGCCUCCUGGAGGAAGUGAUGUCUCAGCUGGGAUCUGCUGGAUGAGAAGGGGUGAGCCAGGUAAAGAGGGGUGGGAAGGUGUUCCAGGCAUAAAGAAGAGCUUGUGCAAAGGCCCAGGGGUGGAAGACAACAGCCCAUGCCAGCCUCUGCGAGUCACUCUAUUCUCUAUUUCGCUAGAGGCCAGGUCAGGGGGGAGGGGAGGGGAGAGGUAAGGCAGGAGAGGUGGGCAGGGCCUGGAUCAGAUAGGGCCUGUAGCUCACUCCAUCUUGAGGGCAAUGGAAGGCCACUGACGGGCUUGAAGCAAGGGAGUGACGAGAUUCUAUUCGUGUUUUAGAAUACCAUUCACUGCUGUGAGGAGAAUGGAUUGGAUGGGCGGAGUGAAGCUAGUGUGGACAUGGGACUGAUCUUCUUGAUUCCCCGAUUGUCUUCAAUCUUAUUACAGUAGAUGGAAGGGCAGGGGAGGGAGGGAGGAGGGAAGGAAGGAGGAAGGAAAGAGAGGAGGAAGGAAGGAAGGAAGGAAAGAAGGAUAUGGAUGAAUGGAUAGAGCCCAUAGAACCAAUGAACACACAUUCAAGAGAAAAAUUUCAACUUAGAAUGUGAAAGAAUUUUAUAAUAAUCAGAAUGGCCAAAGAUGGAAAGAAUUGCCAUGAGAGGCAGCAAGUGCUCUAUUUUGGGGGGUAUUGAAGCCCAGAUGGAGGUAGGAUUAAGUAGUACAGCGAUAAACAGCAGUAUUGGUACCCCACUUUUGAACAGGACUUCACAUUUCUAAAACAGUUUCAAAUACUUUAUCUCCUUAAAUUGUCAUCGCAACCCCAUAUCUUGAGUACUAGCUCCUUUCCACAGAUGAGGAAAUUCAAAUUCACAGAGGUUCAGUGACUUUUCCAGCUAGUAAGAAACGGAACUCGCCCUGGAAGCCUUCUGGCUCCACUCCCCUGUUCUUUGCAGAGAGCCCCAGCUCACCUCUGAAGGCCUUCCCACCCUGAAAUGACGGAGUUCUUAGUAGAAGGCAUUUCUUGCCUUCUGGAGCUUGCACUGGCAACACAAAAUGCUACGUAAGAUCCGCCCCGGAAAGCCGGUUCCUCAGGAUAGGCAGAGGAGCCUCAUAGAAAUAGGACAGGUCUGGAGUCAUCCAAACUGCCUCCUGCUGGCUGUGUGGCUUUGGGAAAGUUACCUUACCUCUCUGAGCUUCAAUUUCCUCAUCUAUAAAAUGGGGGUUAUUAAUAUCAUCUUCACAGUGUUGUUGAGAGAGUAGGUGAGACGAAGUAUAUAAAGGGCUCUAUUGGUCAGGAUUCCUUUGGUUGUAAGUGACAGAAACCCAACUCCAGACUCACAGAAAAAGGAAUUUAUUGCAUCCCUAGUUCCCUCUGUGCUCUGCUGUCUCUUCUUCUUUUGCCCUGGGAACCUCAGCCUCUCCUCCUACAGAUGAGCCUUUUCUGAAUGGCAUGAGCAAUACCGCUCCCAGCUUCCGUUUAGCAUCCUCAGCAGAGAGAGAGCUUCCUUCAACCAGCAACAGUAUAUCAGUCCCAGGGAAGGGCUCUGAUUGGUCCUGCCUGAGUCACAUGCCUGCUCUUCAGACCAAUCACUUUGGGGGAAGGGUAUGAGGUACCAGGAAUGGCCAGGCCUUCGUCUUGUACUCAUCGCUACGGCCGAGGAGUAGGAUGUAUUAGGAGAGAAAAGAUGAUGAAAAAGUUACCCAAACCCAUUACAAACUCUCUCACAGUGUCUGGCGUGUAGGAGCUGCAUUAAAUGGGAAUGUCGUUGGUGCUAUUGUCUGGAGGGGUCAGUGACAACCUGGUUCGUAGAGAAGGCUGGAGCUGCAGCUUAAAGGCUUGAGAAGAUUCUAGUGGGGAGAGAAGAAGGGAAAAGAGAGGUCCAGGUCAGCUACACAGACCUUGUUAAUGCUAAGUUCGCGUUCCUCAGUGGUGACCAUCACGCAUUGCCCCAGCAUCCGGUAGAUGUCCUCUUCAGAGAAUAAAUGUGGCAGAACUAAACUGUGGGGCUUCA